GACGAUAUGGCCGAGUGGUCUAAGGCGACAGUUUUGAAUGCCUUUCGGUGCCCAUCAGCUGUUUCACUUCGUGAGCGUGAGUUCGAACCUCACUGUCGUCG